rnacentral:snoRNA from 1 species
AUCCCAUAGUGUGGACACUUUCGUAGCAUACUCUUGAACCGAUUCCAAGCUUCAUCGAAAUUCUCGGAUUCGCCUUGGCAAAAAACAGAGAUGUGGUGCUUGAGUUU